CUCUGUUUUUAGUGAUGUCUGAGUACUAUAUAAUAGUUAAAACUUUCAACAACGGAUCUCUUGGUUCUGGCAUCGAUGAAGAACGCAGCGAAAUGCGAUAAGUAAUGUGAAUUGCAGAAUUCAGUGAAUCAUCGAAUCUUUGAACGCACAUUGCGCCCUGUGGUAUUCCGCAGGGCAUGCCUGUUCGAGCGUCAUUUAAA
rnacentral:rRNA from 1 species